rnacentral:rRNA from 1 species
AUGUGGUUGGUCGUCCAUGGCAAGUGCCUGACGGCAGAUAAUCUGGAACGAAGAGGCUGGCCUGCAAACACAUCUUGCCCCCUUUGCCUGUCAGCGCCGGAGGACUGUACACACCUAUUCGUUCACUGCCGUUUCACCCAGCACCUCUGGUGUCUGUUCAGGUCUUCGAUUGGGGCACAUUUCGCUAUACCGGAUGACUCUGACGGCUGCACGGAGGACUGGUGGCUGCGCGCUGAACAGGCACCCAAGCCAAUGCGCAGAAACUUCGACACUAUUACAAUUCUGUUGCACUGGAGGCUGUGGAAAGAGAGGAACUCCAGAGUUUUUGAUCAAGUGGCGAGCAGUGCUGAUAGAGUACUGGACUUGAUACGGGAAGACAUAGCAGUAUGGCGCUCAGCAGGCUGCAUAGCGGACCUUGGUCCCUAG